rnacentral:rRNA from 1 species
UACGGAGGGUGCAAGCGUUAAUCGGAAUUACUGGGCGUAAAGCGCGCGUAGGUGGUUAUGUAAGCGAGAUGUGAAAGCCCCGGGCUCAACCUGGGAACGGCACUUCGAACUGCAUGGCUAGAGUGUGGUAGAGGGUAGUGGAAUUUCCUGUGUAGCGGUGAAAUGCGUAGAUAUAGGAAGGAACACCAGUGGCGAAGGCGGCUACCUGGACCAACACUGACACUGAGGUGCGAAAGCGUGGGGAGCAAACAGG